AUGGCCCUGAACCAAGGCCGGCAGUUUUCUUAAGUUGUUGGUUUCAAGCAGGAGCCUAAAGUAUUAUCUUUCUAUUGUCUGGUGGCCAUUUUCAGAACUUUAGAAACAUGGUGGUCAAUUCAUGAGAAAGAAACAAUU
ensembl:snoRNA small nucleolar RNA SNORA2/SNORA34 family